rnacentral:rRNA from 1 species
CACAUGCAAGUCGAGCGGUAGAGAGGUGCUUGCAUCUCUUGAGAGCGGCGGACGGGUGAGUAAUGCCUAGGAAUCUGCCUAGUGGUGGGGGAUAACGUUCGGAAACGGACGCUAAUACCGCAUACGUCCUACGGGAGAAAGCGGGGAUCUUCGGACCUCGCGCCAUUAGAUGAGCCUAGGUCGGAUUAGCUAGUUGGUGAGGUAAUGGCUCACCAAGGCGACGAUCCGUAACUGGUCUGAGAGGAUGAUCAGUCACACUGGAACUGAGACACGGUCCAGACUCCUACGGGAGGCAGCAGUGGGGAAUAUUGGACAAUGGGCGAAAGCCUGAUCCAGCCAUGCCGCGUGUGUGAAGAAGGUCUUCGGAUUGUAAAGCACUUUAAGUUGGGAGGAAGGGUAGUAACCUAAUACGUUGCUACUUUGACGUUACCGACAGAAUAAGCACCGGCUAACUCCGUG